rnacentral:lncRNA from 1 species
GCCCCAAUAGCUUCGUGAGGAUUUUCCGACAUUGGAAGCGGUGGGGAUCGUCUAGAGAUGGAAUUACGGGAGUAGCGUAAAGGGAGUUUAGGAGCUAAAUCAACACUUAAUGAGCAAUAAUUGCCAUUAAUAAGGCAAUAUUCUGAGAUUAUUCGAAGAGAAUACAUAAGAAUUAUGGAAAUAAAGAGCAAUCAAGGAAACCCAAAAGAGGAAACAAAGCCUUGAGUAGAGCUGGGAUUAGUGAAGAGAGGAAAUAUCGGAACCACAAAGGAAAGAUUAGA